UCGAAAACCUGUCCCAGUUCGGACUGGAGUCUGCAACCCGACUCCACGAAGUUGGAUUCGCUAGUAAUCGCGCAUCAGCCAUGGCGCGGUGAAUACGUUCCCGGGCCUUGUACACACCGCCCGUCAAGCCAUGGGAGCCGGGGGCGCCUGAAGUCCGGGACCGCGAGGACCGGCCUAGGGCGAAACUGGUGACUGGGGCUAAGUCGUAACAAGGUACC
rnacentral:rRNA from 1 species